CGUUUAUUUGAUAGUGCCUUACUACUUGGAUAACCGUGGUAAUUCUAGAGCUAAUACAUGCUAAAAACCCCGACUUCGGAAGGGGUGUAUUUAUUAGAUACAAAACCAAUGCCCUUCGGGGCUCCUUGGUGAUUCAUGAUAACUAUACGAAUCGCACGGCCUUGCGCCGGCGAUGGUUCAUUCAAAUUUCUUCCCUAUCAACUUUCGAUGUUUGGGUAUUGGCCAAACAUGGUUGCAACGGGUAACGGAGGGUUAGGGCUCGACCCCGGAGAAGGAGCCUGAGAAACGGCUACUACAUCCAAGGAAGGCAGCAGGCGCGCAAAUUACCCAAUCCCGACUCGGGGAGGUAGUGACAAUAAAUACUGAUACAGGGCCCUUUCGGGCCUUGUAAUUGGAAUGAGUACAAUUUAAAUCCCUUAACGAGGAACAAUUGGAGGGCAAGUCUGGUGCCAGCAGCCGCGGUAAUUCCAGCUCCAAUAGCGUAUAUUAAAGUUGUUGUGGUUAAAAAGCUCGUAGUUGAACCUUGGGCCUGGCUGGCCGGUCCGCCUCACCGCGUGCACUGGUCCGGCCGGGCCUUUCCCUCUGUGGAACCCCAUACCCUUCACUGGGCGUGGCGGGGAAACAGGACAUUUACUUUUGAAAAAAUUAGAGUGCUCCAGGCAGGCCUAUGCUCGAAUACAUUAGCAUGGAAUAAUAAAAUAGGACGCGCGGUUCUAUUUUGUUGGUUUAUAGGACCGCCGUAAUGAUUAAUAGGGACAGUCGGGGGCAUCAGUAUUCAACUGUCAGAGGUGAAAUUCUUGGAUCAGUUGAAGACUAACUACUGCGAAAGCAUUUGCCAAGGAUGUUUUCAUUAAUCAGGAACGAAAGUUAGGGGAUCGAAGACGAUCAGAUACCGUCGUAGUCUUAACCAUAAACUAUGCCGACUAGGGAUCGGACGGUGUUAUUCAUGACCCGUUCGGCACCUUACGAGAAAUCAAAGUGCUUGGGCUCCAGGGGGAGUAUGGUCGCAAGGCUGAAACUUAAAGAAAUUGACGGAAGGGCACCACCAGGGGUGGAGCCUGCGGCUUAAUUUGACUCAACACGGGGAAACUCACCAGGUCCAGACACAAUAAGGAUUGACAGAUUGAGAGCUCUUUCUUGAUUUUGUGGGUGGUGGUGCAUGGCCGUUCUUAGUUGGUGGGGUGACUUGU
rnacentral:rRNA from 1 species